AAGCAACUUGCUGCUUCCUGACGAGUGGCGGACGGGUGAGUAAUGUCUGGGAAACUGCCUGAUGGAGGGGGAUAACUACUGGAAACGGUAGCUAAUACCGCAUAACGUCGCAAGACCAAAGAGGGGGACCUUCGGGCCUCUUGCCAUCGGAUGUGCCCAGAUGGGAUUAGCUAGUAGGUGGGGUAACGGCUCACCUAGGCGACGAUCCCUAGCUGGUCUGAGAGGAUGACCAGCCACACUGGAACUGAGACACGGUCCAGACUCCUACGGGAGGCAGCAGUGGGGAAUAUUGCACAAUGGGCGCAAGCCUGAUGCAGCCAUGCCGCGUGUAUGAAGAAGGCCUUCGGGUUGUAAAGUACUUUCAGCGGGGAGGAAGGCGAUAAGGUUAAUAACCUUGUCGAUUGACGUUACCCGCAGAAGAAGCACCGGCUAACUCCGUGCCAGCAGCCGCGGUAAUACGGGGGGUGCAAGCGUUAAUCGGAAUUACUGGGCGUAAAGCGCACGCAGGCGGUCUGUCAAGUCGGAUGUGAAAUCCCCGGGCUCAACCUGGGAACUGCAUUCGAAACUGGCAGGCUAGAGUCUUGUAGAGGGGGGUAGAAUUCCAGGUGUAGCGGUGAAAUGCGUAGAGAUCUGGAGGAAUACCGGUGGCGAAGGCGGCCCCCUGGACAAAGACUGACGCUCAGGUGCGAAAGCGUGGGGAGCAAACAGGAUUAGAUACCCUGGUAGUCCACGCCGUAAACGAUGUCGACUUGGAAGGUUGUGCCCUUUGAGGCGUGGCUUCCGGGAGCUAACGCGUUAAGUCGACCGCCUGGGGAGUACGGGCCGCAAGGUUAAAAACUCAAAUGAAAUUGACGGGGGGGCCCCCCA
rnacentral:rRNA from 1 species